GGCCGUUUAACUCAGUUGGUAGAGUAUCUGAUUCCAGUCCAGAAAGUCAAGCGUUCAAAUCGCUUAAUGGUCA
rnacentral:tRNA from 1 species